rnacentral:rRNA from 1 species
UACGGGGGGUGCGAGCGUUGUCCGGAAUCACUGGGCGUAAAGGGCGCGUAGGUGGUCUGAUAAGGGUGUGGUGAAAGCCCGGGGCUCAACCCCGGGUCGGCCGUGCCGACUGUUGGACUAGAGUGCUGUAGGGGCAGGCGGAAUUCCGGGUGUAGCGGUGAAAUGCGCAGAUAUCAGGAGGAACACCGGUGGCGAAGGCGGCUACCUGGCCCAAUACUGACACUCAGGUGCGACAGCGUGGGGAGCAAACAGG